AUAAUAAUAGAAAAGCCUCUUUCUCUCUCUCAUCUGUAUUACACAACCAAGCAGGAGAGGUUCCAGAAAUGCAGGGCGAUGAGGCCAGAAUCUUGCUGGGCUUCCCUCCCAAUUCCCGCCCCACCCUCUCCCAGGUUAAAGCUGCUUACAGAAAGAAGGUAUGGGAAUCUCAUCCUGACCUCUUUCCUUUUGAUGAAAAGCCCAUGGCUGAGUCCAGGUUCAAGUUGAUGUCAGAAGCUUACACUUACCUGCUGUCUGUUUUGAUAAUUAGCUCAGAUUUACUCAAGAGAGGCCUCCAAUGGUUUUGAGGAAGAAACGUAGAUCAACUAAAUCUUGGGGAGACAUGCAAUAGGAAAGUUGCACUUCGGGAAGGAUUGCCAGUGUGUCAAAAAGGUAAAGGCUAUAAUGUUAUUCCUGCUAAUUGCUAACUGAUUCAAGGGUGGGAGCAAGGCAUUGCUCGAAGUGAAAGAAAAAAAAAUGCAACUAUAGUGUCAAAAUAGUUAGCGCUGGAAUAUUCGGGUUGAAGCAUCAAUUAGCUAGAAUAUCUGGUGAAGUUACUUACUGUUAUAAGGUUCCUAAGAAGCAUGCUUCAAUAUGAGAGAAAAAAAAACAUGACUUGUAGUCUGGUAAAAACAAAGGCAAUCUGAACAUAAAUAGGCACCUCUGACCUUCCAUCCUGAUAAAUACAAUGAUAUGGAGGAAGUUUCUAAUAACUACAAACAGAAAAGUAAGAAGGUGGUUGUUGAUAAGAGCUUAGUUGUAAGAUCUGCUAGUUUUCAAUAAUAAGAUAUGUGGAACCAGGCUGAGAACAAAAUGCAAUUACUGUGAAAAAAUAAUUAGUGGAUGCAGUAAACUGAUUCAAACAACAUCUUGCUACAAUCCUUGGAGAGGUUGCGUACUGUGAUAAGGCACCUGAGGAAGUGUGUGGCAAUUUCCAGGCAGAAGGAAUCAGAAACCUAAUACAAAGGAGAUUUCCACUCUCUGCAUUCAUCCCAAUAAUGAGGAUGAUGUGAAAGAGCAUCAGGGAGGAUUGUACAAAAGUAAGGAUGUACUGGCUGUUGAUUAUAAAGUUUCAGAUAAUGAUAUCAGAAAUAAUAAGAACAGAAGCCCCCCUGGUUGUGUAGCAAACAAUUACCCACUACUGAAGAAAUCAAGAUUGGAUUUGGUGUUUUUGAAGUCUCCUUAAAACCAGGCAUCAUCAUGUUACAAACAAGUACAACGAAAGUUAGAAUUUGAGAAAAAUCUUAGCUAACUGCGAAUUCUAUUAUCCUGUAGGAAUCCCUUCUAAUGCAACAAAAUUCCCCAUGUUUUUGCAGAAUGCUGGAGUUAUUUGGCCAUUAUAGGCAAGGUCUGCAAGGCCCUUGAAGCCACCUGUAUCUGGUUGGUUUCUUCAGGAAUAGAUCACUUCCACAAAAGAAUAUUUUAGCAGAAUUUCAAGCAUCUUGGGCAAUGAUGGGUUGUUCUAUUGUGACUGAUAGUUGGAAUGGUCUCUAAAGAAGGAUAUUAAUGAACUUUUUGGUAUUUUUUCCUUGUGGUGAGAUGGAAUAAUUUUAUGGAGAUGAAAUUUGGCAAGUGCUAACCAUGAAGCAAAAAACCUGCAAGAAAUGCCAUCAUUGAAUGGUUUAGUUGAACGUUAGGUUAAUCCUGCUGCUGGAAGAAUAGUCACUUAUGGUUACGGUCUUGAUUUUCAUAACAGAAUAGUUUAUCUAUAUGAUCUCAUUAGACCCUGGAGUAAGCAGUGAGAUAAUAUAUGAAAUAAUAUUAAUAAGGAAAUUGAUUAAAAAUUAAAAUGUAGUAAUUAUUCAUCUUCUAUGUAAUAUGUAUUCCAUAUUCCAUGUUGCACUACUCAAUAUAUUGAUUUGCUGUUUGAUUUACAGGUGAUGUCAUUGCUUGAUAUACCCUUGACCCUUGAUGCAUUAUUGGUAAUUUCGGCAAGAAUAUCCAUGUCUCUCAAUAAUAUGUUUUCCUCAUUUUCAUUUGUCAAGCACAUGUUUGUUGCUUAUUUUGGAACAGAUCUCGUGAUACCUUUAUAUUAUAGUGUUUUUAUUUUAUGUACUGGGAUCACAUGGAUGGAAUCCAAGCCUAAGAUUCAAACAAUUUGCUCAAUCAUUGAGAGUGUCUUUCCAUUUGCCUUGAGAGUCCCAGGAAUGCACUCUUGUUUGUUUAUUUUUUUAAAUAGGCUCAUUAAGUUGCAAGUUUUCUAAUUGAAAACGCCAUUUGGAUUUGAGUUUGCAAGCCAUGAUCCAAGCUCUAAGCACCAUGUUAAAAAGAUUGAGUAGAUAACAAGCUGUAAAAUUAUAGAACCAAUGAAAUUGAUUGACUUGAUAUAUAAUGGUUAUCAGCAGGUGCCAGAUGGACACAUUCAACUUCAGCCACUUACACUCGAGUUGUGAGGACUGGCAUGCCAAGAGCACAUGGGGGAAGAAGUAAUCAGGCAUUAAUCCGGCUCCCUUUCUUUUUUAUAAUUCUGGGAACAGUUGGACUAGGAGGAUUAAAUGCCACCAGGGCAUACAAAAAGCAAAAGGAGACUUAUCCUUCACAUAAUCCAUUUCUCCCUUGAUGAUAUACUCGGGUGAAAUUCAUUUCAAAAUUAUACGAAGUAUAGUUUAUUUCAGCAUCAAAUAGUAUUCACAGUUGAUUUUAUGCACCAUAGCUUAAUAUGGCAUGUCCAAGUCUCUGUUGUUCCUUACUGCUACUAUUUGACUGGCAAAGUGAUUGAAUAUUCAUUACUAUUUGUUGGUGCUUUUGUUUUCUUCAA